AUACCCUGAACACCACCAUGAUAAAAAUAGGUACGCAGUGCGUACAUGUUGCAUGCCAAUAAAAUCUUGAUGCGCGCGCUUAUAACUAAUCUAAAUGAUAAUCAACAAAUAUCAGAGGAGGUUCGACAAGCAGGCCGCAAAGCAUCAUGGGUUCGAGCGCCUAAUUCCAGGCGUGGCUUUAAUGACUCUUUGACUGUCGUGGAGUGAACAUCUCUCUGAGUAAACAAAUAUGGAAGCAUUCGAAAUACAAGAUUGUCAGGCUGCAAAACUUCGUGAAAAUAGCAUGCUAUUGCUGUAUUGUUGCGAUCGUCAUUAUGACUUGUGUUUUACUAUACCAAGUUUACCUUAUAUUAAAUUGCAUGGGACGUGCUGUCAUUUUAGCUUUAUAAAUAAUCCGUCUGUCAAAGCGAAGGAAUUGUGUUUAUAUUCCCAAUUUGCGAGGCCCUUCUUUCUAAGUUGGAUGGCGUUAAAUCUCUGUGUAUCAUCAACGUGAAAACUGCAAGAGCAGUAUUUAAGGUUAGUAUAUUACAAUGCAUUUAAUACAGUUGACUUGUUAUUUGGUCAAAUUUCCGCUUUGCUGUUUUCAAUAUAAUUGUACUGUAAUUUUAUAAAUACACUGUACAAAUUAUGGCGUAAUAUUUCUAAUAAUUUAACCCUUUAGUUUGCCCCUUCUCCUGAUGAGUUUGCUAACGAAAACACCCAGCAUAUGCUUUUCGAUUUCGAUGUGGAUCAUAUAUUGACAGCGAAUAGUAUUGAUGAUGAACAUUCAGAUGAUGAACAUUGGUUCUCAGAUGAGUCUGAAGGUAUAUUGUUAUUCAGUUUUUGUAUGGUUUUAUAAAUUUUUGCUGAGUGUGAUGCCUGUUUGCAUCUAGUUGUGGGUGGUUGUUUAAAUGUGGAAACUGUAAUUUAAUAUUUUUUUUUAAAUUUUCAUCUAAAUAUUGCUGUUUGUAUAUUUUUUGCUAAUUUUAGAGAUGACAAUGUAUCUUUGAUACAUAAUAAUUUCCUUGUUAUGAUUUUGUAGAAAGAGAUUUACUUGAGUGGUUGGCUGGUCUUGAACCUGUUCAAGAUGUAUAUGAUAAUGAAAGAGGUGAUCAAGGUGAUAGGGCAUAAAGAGAUGACAAGUUAAGUGAUGAAGACGAAAGUGAUGGGGAGGAAGAAAUCGCCCACUCUGUACCAUUCAAGUGCAUCGGUGCUGCUCAUGAGAAAAACUACUGACAUCAUUUGGAAAAUUAAGGCAUAAUACCUCGCUCUUCAUGAACAAGAUAAAACAGUGAAUUCAAUGUAAGAAUACGGCCAGCACCAUUGAAUCCAAGGGACCCAAGUGCAAUAGCCAAUUCCAGCUUUUAGAUUAUGUGUGCAGGGGGUGAUGGUAUCAUAUUGCUGAUAAUGCUGAAAAAUAGAAAUGGUAGCCAUGUAAACAUGGAGUGAUAGCUAUUGUAAAUAUUGAAAUAUUUUGGUUGUUUAGGCAGUUUAUUAAAAAUUUUCAGCAUAAUCAGGAAUAUGAUACCUUACUUCCCGUCACCCCCUGCAUGCAUAAAUUAAAAGCUGGAAUUGCCUAUUGAUCUAGACUAUGGAACUGUAUGGACACAUGUUGUUUAUAUUGCUUCUGAACUAUGCAAGUAUUUGCACCCACUAAUUGCUGCAGGAGAUGUCCUGGAUGUCUAUGUUCUGUGUAUCAAGUAUAGGGUUGACUUUUUUAAAAUAGGAUUUUAUCCAAAAAUUUUCAUAAAGACACCUGGUGAGUGGAGACUCGAGUAGUAGGAAAAAGCAUGAGUGUAUGUUGACAUAUGUUUUUUAUAUAAUAAAUAGCAACUACCAUAGGUAUGUUUAGCAAGUUAUUAGUGCAUUUAUUUCAAUUGGCUAACUUUUUUAGUUUUUCCAGCAUUUUUUAAACAAAUCAUAGGUUAUGAAUGAUAACUGGGUAUAUCUAAGUAAAACAAUCUGUCAUGUACACUCAUGCAAAUAAGACCAAGUAUGUACAUAAAUAACUGUAAAAAAUGUACUUUAGUAAAUAAACUUAUGAAAAAUUAAUUCAUACACUUGACCUACUUUGUGA
rnacentral:lncRNA from 1 species